rnacentral:rRNA from 1 species
GACGAACCGUGCGAACGUUAUUCGGAAUCACUGGGCUUAAAGGGCGCGUAGGCGGGUCCGUAAGUCAGGGGUGAAAUCCCACGGCCCAACCGUGGAAGUGCCUCUGAUACUGCGGGCCUCGAGGGGAGUAGGGGCGUGCGGAACUCAGGGUGGAGCGGUGAAAUGCGUAGAUAUCAUUUGGAACGCCGACGGUGAAAACAGCUCGCUGGGAGUGUCCUGACGCUGAGACGCGAAAGCCAGGGGAGCGAACGGG